rnacentral:rRNA from 1 species
CGCGAAUGGCUCAUUACAACAGCUAUAAUUUACUUGUUCUAUUCCUUUAAACGGAUAACUGCGGUAAUUCUGGAGCCAAUACGUGCUAAAAGCCGAAUUCAGCAAUGAGUUCGGUGCACUUAUCGGAGCAAAACCCUUCCUGGUUUUAUGCUAACUCUGGAUAACACUGCUUAUCGCACGACCUCGUGUCGGCGAAGUUACAUUCAAGUAUCUGCCUUAUCAACUUUCGAUGGUAGUGUAUUGGACUGCCAUGGUGUUGACGGGUAACGGAGAAUCAGGGUUCGACUCCGGAGAGGGAGCCUUAGAAACGGCUACCAUGUCUAAGGACAGCAGCAGGCGCGCAACUUAUCCACUGUUCAUUGAACGAGAUAGUGACGAGAAAUAACAAGUCCGUUCUCUAUGAGGCCGGUCAUCGGAAUGGGUACAAUCUAAACCCUUUAACGAGUAUCUAUGAGAGGGCAAGUCUGGUGCCAGCAGCCGCGGUAAUUCCAGCU